rnacentral:tRNA from 13 species
GGGGAUAUGGCGAAAUUGGUAGACGCUACGGACUUAAUUGGAAAAUCCGUCGACUUUAGAAAUCGUGAGGGUUCAAGUCCCUCUAUCCCCA